GGCUGUAGUAGGUCCCAAGGGUUGGGCUGUUCGCCCAUUAAAGUGGUACGCGAGCUGGGUUCAGAACGUCGUGAGACAGUUCGGUCCCUAUCCGUCGCAGGCGUAGGAAAUUUGAGAAGACCUGUCCUUAGUACGAGAGGACCGGGAUGGACGUACCUCUGGUGUACCAGUUGUUCUGCCAAGGGCAUGGCUGGGUAGCUAUGUACGGAAUGGAUAAGCGCUGAAAGCAUCUAAGCGCGAAGCCAACUUCAAGAUAAGA
rnacentral:rRNA from 1 species